CCUGAUAGCUUAGUAGGUAAAGAAUCUGCCUGCAAUGCAGGAGACCCUGUUUCAAUUCCUGGGUCAGGA
rfam:TPA: Bos taurus chromosome 10, whole genome shotgun sequence.